AAACAUGGACCCAUGAAAGAAGAACAUGGGCUUGGGAUGGAGCUACAGGUCCUGCUGCAUUGGCCCCCGUCUGAUCUUCAGAAUUUCUGCUUUGUGCCCAGCCAACAAGGUACAGAAGCAGUCAAGCAGGAGGACAAGUUCUCAGGAUCUGCCUAUCAUCUUUCCCUGCCUGGAAGGAAGCACAUCUCCCGGAUGAUCAGAAGUGUCCAGAAAUCACAAUGGGAGGUUAAAAUGUAUAGAUGAUACUACUACAACCUUGAGGUGCCCAAUUCCUUGUGGCAAUAAGAUCCUCAGCAUCAUUACAUGUUGUAACUUGGAAUCAGUGGUAGUCAGCUUUGAGCAAGCUAAGG
rnacentral:lncRNA from 1 species